rnacentral:rRNA from 1 species
GCGAACGCUGGCGGCAUGCCUAACACCUGCAAGUCGCACGGGGGGGCUUCGGCCUCCCAGUGGCGGACGGGUGAGGAACGCGUAGGGACCUGUCGAGGGGUGGGGGAUAACCGCGGGAAACUGCGGCUAAUACCGCAUGACGCCGCGGCGUGACAGCCGGGGCCAAAGGCGAAAGCCGCCCGCCGAGGGGCCUGCGUCCGAUUAGCUGGUUGGCGGGGUAGCGGCCCACCAAGGCGUCGAUCGGUAGCUGGUCUGAGAGGGUGAUCAGCCACACCGGGACUGAGACACGGCCCGGACUCCUACGGGAGGCAGCAGUGGGGAAUAUUGGACAAUGGGCGCAAGCCUGAUCCAGCAAUGCCGCGUGGGUGAAGAAGGUCUUCGGAUUGUAAAGCCCUUUCGGCGGGGACGAUGGUGACGGUACCCGCAGAAGAAGCCCCGGCUAACUUCGUG